rnacentral:rRNA from 1 species
CCUACGGGAGGCAGCAGUGGGGAAUAUUGCACAAUGGGGGAAACCCUGAUGCAGCAACGCCGCGUGGGUGAAGGAGCGUUUCGGCGCGUAAAGCUCUGUCAGCGGGGAAGAAGAAAGACGGUACCCGACCAAGAAGCCACGGCUAACCACGUGGCAGCAGCCGCGGUAAUACGUAGGGGGCGAGCGUUAUCCGGAAUUACUGGGAGGAAAGGGAGCGUAGACGGCGAGGUAAGCCUGAAGUGGAAGCACGCGGCCCAACCGCGGAACAGCUGUGGGAACUGGUUUGCUGGAGUAUGAGAGGGGUUAGCGGAAUUCCAGGUGUAGCGGUGAAAUGCGUAGAUAUCAGGAGGAACACCAGUGGCGAAGGCGACUUACUGGACCAUAACUGACGUUGAGGCUCGAAAGCGUGGGGAGCGAACAGGAUUAGAUACCCUAGUAGUC